CAUAAUUCCAUGUAUGUACUGUACAUAGGUUAUGAUCCACGUGUGGCAGGAAAUUGCUGACCUGGCCUGACCCUCGGUCUCGGAGGGGGGUCCGCUCCAGUACCACGAUCAUCCGUCCCUCUUUUGGUGCCACCGGACCUUGCCUGCAGGCGAAAAAACGGAUGGACUUGGCGAUCGGGACCGAGUUGUUUAUAUACAUAUAUCUCACGCGCAACUAUUAAACCAUCUAUUAUAUUAUAUCACCGCGCUUUGUGUAAAGAAAUGUUGGUGCUUGCAUAUGUAGGGUGUGGAAAAAUUAGCUCAGCGGUCAUUGCCCUUGCGGCUGACCAUACACCUAUGCGCACUUAAAUAGACCCACCUGACCGUAUGUCACCUAUUCUCUCCUUCUCUCAGGUUAUUAAAAUUGUUCGAUGCCGACAUUCUAAAAGCCACUUAAGGGAAGAAAAGU
rnacentral:lncRNA from 1 species